GGACAGACAGAAAAAGAAAUUUAAUUCCAAGAUGAGUUGAGCAGCUUGAACCUGGAGUUUUUAACUAACUGUUGCCACUCGCUCAUGCCAGACUGUGAAGACGCUCCUGGUUUUAUACAUUUCCACCUAACGAGCGGACGCGCUCAUUUGGAGCAGGUGCAGUCUAGAGCAAUCCGCGUCCUGCCUUCCCUUUUGUUCUUCCCCUGUCUCUCUGGAAGAUCGGCAGCCUCGCAGCGCACAGCGAGUGUCACGAUAACAGGUUUCUCCGUAACAAAUCGAUGAGGAGGCAAAGCUUCGGGAGAAAAAGCCGCGUCAUGUCCCCUCCGAGGCGUUUCCUAGAGGACGGCUGUCAUCGCGGGCGUGUGGCGGGAAGAGAGCGGCUGUGUGCAGGCAGACGGAGAAGCGGCAGCCUGCGCAACCGUAGCCCGAGUGAGCGAGCGCACGGGGGGAGCGGGGCGCGGCGGCGCGCACGGACACGAGGUGGCGAUGUUGUGUCGCGCGCGAAUGCCAUCGCUUCAGAUCAGAGCGUCUGUUUGAAUUAAAUACUGUAAAAAUGUUCUCCCAGCAAAGAGGAGUCCGCGGAGUUUACGUUGUUCUCCCCCUAGAUUGCGCAGGUUCUCCUGAAACACAAGACGUCAGGUUGAUUGGAGACUCUAAAUUGCAGGUGCGAGUGCGCGAAUCAAAUAAGCAUCAGACAAAUGUUAUUUUGUCUGAAGCAAACAACAAACCUUAUUAUCUAAGACGUUAUUCUUGAUCUUUUAUUUUAUUUAAUGGGCAUUUUAUUAAAUGUAAUAAAUGUGUGAAGAUCGUCUCAGCUUAGAUGAAGCUGAAACUCGUCCAUCAAGUUUACCUUAAACCAAAGCAAUGGACAAAGAUGCUCACACGUCUGCUGCUCUUAAAGUCAAUUCACUCUUCUUUGAUGCGGCAUUAAAAUAAAAAAUAAACACUUGCAUGUAGUCUCCGUGGAUGUGUACACAUGCAUCUAGCCCUUCAUCCAGUGCUGCAAUGACUGUCUUACGCCACCAGAGGGACCAGGCAUACCGUCCAUCUAAAACAUGUAUGAUAGCUCUAAUUUUAGUACAAAAGGCGGGGAGGGUGACAUUCCGGCAAGCCUGCGCUUGUGAUUUGGGAACUUUGCUGAUUGCCUUGCAUCCACUUCCCCACAGCCUGCUAAACAAGACGGUAAGGGAAUGGACGUUGAAAGUGAAUCUAAGUCAAGCAGAGUAAAAGGCUUAUAAUAAAAUCAGUCUCCAGUGUUUAAAAGGUGAGAAACUACUCACAGUGAUACUAAAGGAAACAAAAAGUUUGAUUUAUUAUAUCAAACAUGUCAAAUGAGCACCUCUGAUCAAGAUUAACUUAUAUAAUGAAGUUACAUUUGUCUGAUGCUUAAUAAUCUAUAAACAUUUAGCCAAAACAUAAUAGGAACAAACAAUGUCAACAGUUGUUUUUUUAAGAAAUGUGCUGAUUAUUAUUAAUAGUUUAUGCUCCAUCUUUGAAAACUGGAAUCAUUAAUGUACAGUCAAACUUGUCCUCAAUUUUUGAUGCUUGGAUUUUUAAAAAGAAACUUCAUCAGCUUUUUCACUAGCUAAUGUGAUAGAUGUUGUACAGUAUAGGAAUUUUGUGAUAAUAUUAUUGACAAGUGACACAUCUUUUAUAUCAUAUCCAUCACUGUGACCAGAAUUCAAGUUGAACCUAACCUGUUUCCCCAUAAUCUAGCAGCACUACUUCGUUUUUCAGACCCACUGUAUGGCUUCUAACGAAAGCUACACAAACUCAUGGCACAGAUCCAGAGGUGCAUCAUCAGCUACAGACUCACAGGCAACAUGGAAGUAACUGUGUUGUUGAGAGAGAGUUUUUCCUCUCCACGGAUGCUGUAAAAUUGUAAUUAAUACAAUUAAAGGCUUGCUGUAUGUGGGAUUUGUUGGGUUUAGUUGUGUAAGGUCUUAAACCAUACCUUGUAAAGUGCCUUGAGAUUACUUUGUUGUGAUUUGGCACUAUAUAAACAAAAUUUAAUUUAAUUUAAUUUAAUUUAAUUUAAUUUAAUUUAAUUUAAUUUAAUUUAAUUUAAUUUAAUUUAAUUUAAUUUAAUUUAAUUUAAUUUAAUUUAAUUUAAUUUAAUUUAAUUGGCACAUCAAACAAAGUCUACAAAUACGUCCCUGGUGACUUUGUUUCUUCUGAAAGUAAAUGUGACUGCACAGUAAACAAAGCAUGGAGGCCACUGCCUAUGACCUUGGUCGACUGUGGGCAUUGUGUGUUAUUUUGAAGUGCACACUGUAACAUGUUUGCUGUCGUUGUGGCAACAGUAUGGAGCAUUCCCCAUAUGUGGCUGCUCACCUCCAGUGAGGGAAGAGCAGUAGGGAGUCAAUAAGGUAUGACUUAUCUUAUUUUAUGUAAUUAUUUCACAUCAGAUCAACUUCAUGUAAUCCUUUAUUUAAUGGCAUAACGGUAACCUGAAUAAAAGAUUUUACAAUAAAUGUGACCGCUUACCUAGUAUUUAUGUGAUAAAAUUACAUGGAAAAUUGACGUGUGACAUUACAUAAAGUCCAGGUUUUAGGCAUGAUUAUUUUUUUGAGUGUAGUAAAGACUUAAGAAGUUGAACCAGUCAGACAGAACUCUAGCAGGUGUUUCCUUUUUUUGAAUCUGUACAUUUUUGCUUCAUUCGUUAAUUUGACGGCAUAUUUACAUCAGUAUUUGUAACUCUAGUGGAAAAGAUGUCUAAUUUUAUAUAAUAAAACCUAGAGUUAAAUGGUGGAUUACAUUUUAUUUAGAAAUGAAGACAAAAAAUAGUGUUAGGCGUGUAAACAUAAAUAAAGCAGCCACAACACACAAAGAAAAACACAAAAGUCUUUUAGGAAGAGCACUGCUAAUGCAGCAGACGUAAAGUACCUAGGUAAGUGAGGUCAAACUAAGAAAGCAUCAUGGCAAACAAUGUUUCUAAGAGACACAGACGGGUACCAUAAAGGGGGGCUUGGACCCCAAAUGAGGUAGUGCUGGAAGAUUUUGAGAAAAUGUGUAAUAUUUGCUGAACUUCUUCUUUCUAUUGUUCCCAUCAGGGGUCGCUACAGCGAAUCAUCUGUUUCCACGUAACUCUCUAUUGUUUGCAUCUUCUAUUCUCACACCAGCCAACCUGAUGUGUAAUAUUUGCUGAACACACUGGAUAAAAAAUUCUUUGUACUACAAAACUGAAAAGGACACCGUAGCAGUUUCUACCCCAGAUGUCCUCUCCUGUUUUGUUUGCAUCAGAGUUACAUGUCACCUGUACAAUUGUACAGUACCUCUACCUAUACCCAGGUUGAACUUGUUUGGAAUAUUACUGGGAGAAAAUAUUCUACAUAAUUUCUCCCAUUUGAGAGAUCAGUUAUAAUGAAAAUAUCAGGAAUCCACAAUCAUGAAACUGUUUGUACGUUCUGUUUCUGGUUUUAUUGUGAAGGAUCAGUUCUUGUCUGUUGCACGUGUUGCCACAGCUCUUUCUGGUUAGUAAUGAUGUUCAGUACUUACCUGGGUUUCACGUGCCUCCAGGUUGCCACAUUGUCUGUACUCUGAGCUCCUCACCUCUGUCAGCGCUCAUACUAGUAGGUCUUAUCAGUCUGAUCUUGAUACCUGUUUAUUGACUCUGCCUCUGCCUGAUCCCUGUCGGUACCUCGGCCUGUACAUUUGGAUUAACUGUUUUUGAACCUUGCCUGACUGACCACUCUGUUGCCUGCUGUUUUGGAUUUGUUGUUCUAUUAAAGACUGUUCGGUAUUGUUGACCUCA